UUUGGACCUGCUGUUUGUUCGGCUGUUGUCCUGUGCCUCUGACGUCUGCUGAUAGUAGGUGCCUUUUGUUUCUGCACUUCCCCAGUCCUGGGGCUUUUCUUCUUCUGGAGGGUAUGAGAAGCCAUCAUCUACUGAAAAUGUGUCAUCAACAUCAUACCGCUGCUGCAAGCCAAAGUCUUAAGGAGAUGAAAUGCUUACAGAAGAGACCUGCAUAGUUAAUUGCUAUGUAUACCUGUGAACCUGAAAUGAACACAUCGGAAGAGAUGUAAAAGAGACAUCCAUGACCUUUACAAGGUGGCCUGUGCUCCACGGGGUACAAGGAGCAGCCAAAUUUAAACAACACUGCAGUCUGGUUCAUUCUAGACUUGGAUGAAUACAUUUAUGCCUAGUAAGAAAUUACCCUAGUAAAGAACUGUACAUUUCAAGUCAAGUGUACAUAAAGGCAUUUUUUUGGGAACAAGCAAUGGGUUAAGAACUUAAAGCUACAGAUGUGUCCUCAUACAUCUUGCCUUAAUAAGCCACGUAGUGGGAGGGAGAUGCCUGGCAUAAGUGAGCUGACAGGUUCCAUGCAACUCCUUUAGUGUCAGGCAUCUUUUUUUGCCAUAAAGCAUCUUAUUCUCAUCGCUAUGUGACUAGGACGCACAAGCAGUUUUUGCUGAUUAAAAUAAUGGCCCUCAUUCUGAGUUGAUCCCUCGCUAGCUGCUUUUAGCAGCAUUGCACACGCUAGGCCGCCGCCCUCUGGGAGUGUAUCUUAGCUUAGCAGAAGUGCGACCGAAAGGUUAGCAGAACUGCGCUUAAAAAGUUUCAUGCAGUUUCUGAGCAGCUCGAAACUUACUCCUACCUUGCGAUCACUUCAGUCAGUUUAGUUCCUGCUUUGACGUCACAAACACGCCCUGCGUUCGGCCAGCCACUCCCCCGUUUCCCCAGACACGCCUGCGUUUUUGCCUGUCACGCCUGCGUUUUUUAGCACACUCCCUGAAAACGGCCAGUUACCACCCAGAAACACCCACUUCCUGUCAAUCACUCACCGAUCAACAGAGCGACAGAAAAGUGUCGCUAGCCCUUGUGUAAAACUGCAGUUUUGUGUGAAAGUACUUUGCGCGUGCGUACUGCGGCCCGUACGCAUGCGCAGAACAGCCGAUUUUUCACCUAAUCGUCGCGCUGCGAACGGCAGCUAGCGAUCAACUCGGAAUGAGGGACAAUAUGCGGCAUGCCUAUAAUCUGUGUGCGACUGCAGCUCUAUCUGCAUAUGAAAUGGUACAUUACAGUGUUUUCCUCGAAAAACACUGUAUCGUAGCAUUUUGUAUGCACAUACAGGCGUAAUAGCACACAGAAUAUAGGCAUGCCGCAUAUCAUUUUAAUCAGCAAAUGGUGAUUGUGCGUCCUAGUCGCAUAGUUUUGCAUUUUAAUGGAAAAAGCUGCAAGAAAAGAUACCCAGUGCACUACUAAAGACUGGAAGAAAAUCUUAUGGAUGAAUCAAAGAUUUACACCUGUGUUCAUCACAUAGGGUUUUUGUACGCCACUGAAUAAGCAAAAGGAUGGUUACUCAGUGUUGGGGUUUAUUUACUAAGCAAUAAUUUGUAGAACCAGCUGUUUAAGCGUGUUUAAGCCCAUUCUUGAAGAGGAUAUUCUUUGAAUAGGAAAACAACAAUAUGUAAAUAAAUCCCUGUGACACUAACUGUGAAAAAUGGAGACAGAAGUGUGAUGGUUUGGGGCUCUUUUGCUUGAUGCCCAGUCGACAACUUGAACAUGGCAUGGCAUGGCAUCCUGAACAAAAAGGGCUACCAGAGCAAAUUUUGCAACUCCAUGCAAUACCCCCUGGUAUACCUCCCAAAUGACCCAAAAUAUAACUCCAGGCUAUGUCAGAAAUACCUUUGAGGAAAUAACAAGGCAGUUGGCUUCAAUCGUGUAAAGGCUAGCAGUUUGCAGACGUAAACCCCAUCGAGUUAGUUUGGGAUGAAAUGGAUAGAAAGGUGAAAGCAAACAACCUACAAGUGCAACAUAUUUGUGGGAACUUCUGCAACAGUGGUUAUAUCUGCAAAAGGAGGCAACUUUGGUGAGUCAAAAAUUUUGUUUCAAUCUUGUAAAAUAAAAUGAUUUUAUGA